UCUGUAGGACUGCCUAGGGGUUUGAAUACGACCCAGGGUUAUUCUGUAGGACUGCCUGGGGGUUUGAAUACGACCCAGGGUUAUUCUGUAGGACUGCCUGGGGGUUUGAACACCACGACCCAGGGUUAUUCUGUAGGACUGCCUGGGGGUUUGAACACCACGACCCAGGGUUAUUCUGUCGGACUGCCUGGGGGUUUGAACACCACGACCCAGGGUUCUUCUUUAGGACUGCCUGGGGGUUUGAACACCACGACCCAGGGUUAUUCUGUAGGACUGCCUGGGGGUUUGAACACCACGACCCAGGGUUAUUCUGUAGGACUGCCUAGGGGUUUGAAUACGACCCAGGGUUAUUCUGUAGGACUGCCUAGGGGUUUGAAUACGACCCAGGGUUAUUCUGUAGGACUGCCUGGGGGUUUGAAUACGACCCAGGGUUAUUCUGUAGGACUGCCUAGGGGUUUGAAUACGACCCAGGGUUCUUCUGUCGGACUGCCUGGGGGUUUGAAUACGACCCAGGGUUCUUCUUUAGGACUGCCUGGGGGUUUGAACACCACGACCCAGGGUUAUUCUGUAGGACUGCCUGGGGGUUUGAACCUCACGACCCAGGGUUAUUCUGUAGGACUGCCUGGGGGUUUGAACACCACGACCCAGGGUUCUUCUUUAGGACUGCCUGGGGGUUUGAACACCACGACCCAGGGUUAUUCUGUAGGACUGCCUGGGGGUUUGAACACCACGACCCAGGGUUAUUCUUUAGGACUGCCUGUGGGUUUGAACACCACGACCCAGGGUUAUUCUGUAGGACUGCCUGGGGGUUUGAAUACGACCCAGGGUUAUUCUGUAGGACUGCCUGGGGGUUUGAACACCACGACCCAGGGUUAUUCUGUAGGACUGCCUGGGGGUUUGAAUACGACCCAGGGUUAUUCUGUAGGACUGCCUAGGGGUUUGAAUACGACCCAGGGUUCUUCUUUAGGACUGCCUGGGGGUUUGAACACCACGACCCAGGGUUCUUCUUUAGGACUGCCUGGGGGUUUGAACACCACGACCCAGGGUUAUUCUGUAGGACUGCCUGGGGGUUUGAACACCACGACCCAGGGUUCUUCUGUAGGACUGCCUGGGGGUUUGAAUACGACCCAGGGUUAUUCUGUAGGACUGCCUGGGGGUUUGAAUACGACCCAGGGUUAUUCUGUAGGACUGCCUGGGGGUUUGAAUACGACCCAGGGUUAUUCUGUAGGACUGCCUGGGGGUUUGAAAGAAAAGUACGCAAACAAACACUGA
rnacentral:lncRNA from 1 species